CAUAGCAAACCCAUACUUGUCCCGGGACACCGUGAUGACGGUCUUGUCUCUGCAAGACGACAUCAGACUUUGGCCAAUGAUUCAGCGGGCGAUCCCCUCUCAGGCGCUCUGCAGGUGGGGAAGUGAGGGUAUAUGAUCACCCCUCGCACCUUCCACCGGUCCUACCAGCCCUGAUAUGAAUCCCCGUAAUAAAUCAAGAUCACUUCCAUUCGGCGAUGUCUGCCGUCGGCAACUGGGGAAAAGUUGUUACUCCCGCACCUCACCGGAUGAAUGGCAAACUGCCGAAGAAUUGAAAGUGAAGUGAAAAGAAAAUGAUACUGAAUAAAUUUAUUGAAAAUUUAGAUGGAUUUGUUCUUCUUUUUGUUGUGAGAAAAUACCUUUUGGGGGGUUCCAGGUGUGCGUCCGGAACGGGGAAUAUUCGUUGAAGGGUAGGGUUCCAAGAUCGAAGAUAGGUUUUCGCUGCACAGUUCUUUGGCCGUAGGUUCCGCUCGAAGAUUUAGGUUGGCCUUUUUCCGGAUCUUGAACGACCGGGUCUGCUUUCGUAGAGAUUCGGGGUUCGAAGUUUGUUCUUUGGAAGUAAGGAAAGCUUCACCAGGUAAGUAUCGGGGAAAACUCGAUGAAUGAAGCACCGACUUACUGGUGUCAAAUUCGGGGGAAAAGUAACCAGAAGAGUAGCGUGACACUGGGCUCCUUUUCGUUCCCUUUUCGACCUGAAGAUGGUCUUCCGAAUCAGGUUCGGGCUCGCUGAAUGACAUUUCUAAGUCAUCGGAAUCGGAACUAGGGAUGAUCAAUUCGAUCUCUUCCUCUGGUUCUGAUUCCGGCGCCCUAUAUUCGCAUGUCGCGCUGGGGGGCAAAUAACGAGAAUUUACAUCGCAUGUGACGAUGUUCAUGUCACGCAUAAAAAGGUAGAUGAUUCUUUUAAU